UUGGGUAGAGUAUUUUGCUUAACUAUAAUGAGGAAAAAUCUUGGUUUUUAAACAAUUGACCUUCUGUCAGUAGUUGCUUUACUUAGUUUUUGUAUUUUAUGAUACCCAUUAAUAAUAUUUGUCCCUCCCUUUAACUUUAUGGAUAUUUUCAGGAUAUUUAAAAAUUAAAAAAUUAUUGAAAAUUGAGGUGGAACUAAUCCUAAUCUAAGAUAUUGAUGAUUUUGCUCAUAAACGGUGUUCCAGAUGUUUACUGAAGUAUAUACUCUGAGAAAAAAACCCUAGAUUUUCUGUAGGUCACAGAAGGGAACUAACAAUUUGAUUUUAGGCUUAUAUGCUUCGUUUGUUAGCUGAAUUCUUUUCCAGUAAAAUUGAUCAUUGUUUUUGUUAAAAAUCUGUUAUUAACUGCAGUUUACCCUUCUACAAGGAACUGUACAUUCUCAAUGUUUGCCAGCAUUUUUAGCUAUAUAGUGGUGUUAACAGAAUCUGAGACUCUUACAGCAUUACGAUUUUCUUUAUUCAUAUGAAUAAGAGCAGAAAAAUAAAUACUAUAUAUAGAAAUGUCAUUUAAUACAGUGAAUAUAUACGUUGAUAUACUAUAUUAAAGUAUUUUAUGAUUACAUUUUUGAAUGAAGAGAAAAUGCGACAUUUCAAACAGACAUUCUGUUCUACUUGAAACUUAACAAUUGAGAUGGAUGCUAGUAAGAUUAAGGCAAGACAAACUGGAUAUAACAGGGGUGGAAAAUGACUUGUGCUAUCAAAAAGAGCUAAACUGGAUUAUUUGUGAGCUCUGAUAAUAUAUUCCUUAGUUCUCUGAGUUACACACAUUCACUGGGUAUUCUGUGUGCCAAGUCCUGAAGAAAUAAUGAACAAGAUCCAUGUUUGCUAUUGCACAUGAAUUCUCAUAUGAGAGAGAGAAAGUAAUAUGUAAACAAAUAAGGUUAAAAUUCUAGAUGCUAAAUUCAACUUUCAGAUUUAAGUUGGAUAGUGUUUUCAAAGUAGGGAUCAUACUGCUAGGUAGGUAAUAGGGGUAAAUGGAGAGUUACUUCUUUCCAACCCUUUUCUCACUACAGGUAGUAGUAAAUAAAUCAAAUAUGGAAAACAUGAACAGAUUUCAAAGUGAGCUCCAACUGUUAGGAAUAAGAUUAAAGAGAGUAUAAAGGAUGGGAUUAUUCAGCAUAAACAAAAUUUAGAGAAUACCUUAGUAAGAGAUUCUAAUUUAGGUGAAGGAUAGUGAUUACCAGUUCUCUUCCUCCACUGAGAAAGAAUGAAAAAUUAUUUUUUUAAAUACCUGUAAUUAUGGAAAAUUUCAAUCACACAUACAUAAACAAAAAUAGUAUAGUGAACCCUCCUGUGCCUAUCACCCAGCUUCAGUUGUUUCAUUUCUUAUGUCAAUAUUACUUCUUAUCUACUCCCUACUCCCACUGGAUUUUUUCAAAAUAGUUUUUAAAAUAAAAUAUACAUAAUGCUCAAGCUUAACUGCUUUUGAUACAUGCUUAUAUCAUGUAAGACUCAUUUUCACUCGAUAUUGGACAUUUCUGUCACCUCGGAAAUGUCCAUAGUGAACAUUUCCAUUUGAUCCCCUUGCUUCUCAUUCAUGCCUCUCCCACCUUCCCCACCUUGAAGGCAUCUACUGUUCUUUUUCUCUUUUAAACCAUGGAUUACUUUUGCCUGCUCUACAGUUGCAUAUACAUGGUAUCAUACAGUUCAUACUCUUUGUGCCUGGCUUGUUUUACAUAAUAUUUGAGAUUAUUCUAGGUUGUUGAAUAUAUGAGUAUUUUUAUUGCUGAGUAAUAGCCUGUUACAUGAAUAUACCACAGUGUUAUUUGUGACAGAUGUAAUCACUGUUAUGAAUAAAGCAAGAGUGUUCUUACAUGAGGCCUUUAGUAGAAUAUGUUCUUAUUUCUUAGUUAAAUACCUGGGGGUAGAUUUACUGGCUCAUAGGCUAAAUGUAUGCUUAGCUCUAUGAUAAACUGCUAAAGCUGUUGUAGUAUUACCUACCAGUAAUAGGUGAGUUCGGGUAGUACUCUCACCAACAAUUGUUUGUUUUCAAUUUUGUAAAUUUUAUUUAUUUAUUUAAAUCUUUUUAGGGCUGUACCAUUGCAUAAGGAGGUUCCUAGACUAGGGGUUGAAUUGGAGCUGUAGCCACCGGCCUCCAGCACGGCCACAGCUAUGCAGGAUCUGAGCAACGUCUGUGACGUACACCACAGCUCACGGUAGUGUCAGAUCCUUAAGCCACUGAGUGAGGCCAGAGGUCAAACCUGCAUCCUCAUGGAUGCUAGUCAGAUUAAUUUCCACUGACCCACGACAGGAACUCCCAAUCUUGUAAAUUUUAAUCCUUCUAAUAGGUAUGUAGUUUGUGGAAUUAAUAUGUAUUUCUCUUUCUAGAACUCCCUCUUUAAGUUUUUGUCCAUGUUUUAAUUGGGUUGAGUUUUUAUUGAGUUGUAAGAGUCUUUUAGUUCCUCAAUUGUUUUGUCUCUUCUAGGCCUUUAUGUUUCCAUUAUGAAUUUUAGAAUAAGUUUAUCAAUUUAUAUAAAAAAGAUUAUGAUUGUGCUGGGACUAGAAUUGGGGUUGUGUUAAUUUAUACAUGACCUUGAAGAAAAGAAACUUUUUCUUUGGCAAUAUUGAAACUUCAAAUCAUGAACAUGGUGUAUCUCCCCACUUAGUAAAUCUUUAUCUCAGCAGUAUUUUGCAGUUUUUGGUGAGGUCUUGCAUCUUUUGUUAAAUUUAUUACUAAGUAUUUUAUGCUGUAUGAUGAAGUUGUAAAUGGAAUUUUUGAAUAUAUUAGAUAAAAGUUAUUUUGUUUUUAAUUUUUAAAAAAAUUUUUAAUUUUCUGUCCUUUUUUUUUUUGCCUUUUCUAGGGCUGCUCCUGCAGCAUAGGGAGGUUCCCAGGCUAGGGGUCUAAUCAGAGCUGUAGCCGCCAGCCUACACCACAGCCACAGCAAUGCCAGAUCUGAGCCAUGUCUGUGACCUACACCAUAGCUCACGGCAAAGCCGGAUCCUUCAACCCACUGAGCAAGGCUAGGGAUCGAACCCUCAACCUCAUGGUUCCUAGUUGGUUCAUUAACCGCUGAGCCACGAUGGGAACAACUCCUUUUGUUUUUCAAUUGUGGUAAAAUACACCAAUGUAAAACUUACAUUAUAACUUUUUUAAGUGUACGGUACAAUAAUAUAUAUUUCACGUUGUUGUAUAACCAAUCUCCAGGACUUUAUCUUGUAAAUCUCUAAACAAGUUUAUCUUGAAACUCUAAACCCAUUAAGCUGUAAUUUCCUAUUUGUCCUUACCCCAGUCUUUGGCAGCCCCUGUUCUACUUUGUGUUUCUCUGAAUUGACUACUCUAGAAACCUCAUAUGAAGGGAGCAAUACAGUAUUUGUCUUUUGGGGAAGGGUUUAUUUCACUUAGCAUAAUGUCUUCAAUAUUGGAACAUGUCAAAAUAUUUUUCCUUUUUAAGGCUUAUAUUACCAUUGUAUGUAUAUACCAUAUUUUGUUCACCUGUUCAUCAGUUGGUGAACAUUUGGUUGCUUUCAUCUUUUUGCUGCUUCCAGUAAUGCUGUUAUAAACUUGUGUACAAAUACCUUGCCAAGACUUUGCUUUUUUAAAAAGAAUUAAUUUUAUUGAAAUAUAGCUGAUUUACGUUUUGAUUUCUGCUGUAUAACAAAGUGAAUUAGCUAUACAUAUAUCCAUUUCCAUAUAGAGUAUCAUAGAAAAUUGAGUAGCUUUCUCUGUGGUAUACAACAGGUCCCCAAUGAUCAUCCAUUACAUAUACAAAAGUAUGCACUUGCCAUUCCCAAACCCCUAGUGCAUCCCUCCUACUCCCACUUUUCUUCCCCUUUGGUAACCAUAUGUUUGUUUUCAAAGUCUGUGAGUCUGUUUCUAUUUUGUAAAUAAGUUCAUUUGUAUCAUUUAAAAAAAUUCCAAAUAUAAAUGAUAUUAUGUGAUGCCUGUCUUUCUCUGUCUGACUUAUUUCACUCAGUAUGAAAAUCUCUAGGUCCAUCCAUGUUUCUGCAAAUGGCAUCAUUUCAUUCUUUUUUAUGGCUGAUAUAUAUAUAUAUAUAUCUAUAUAUAUAUAUAUAAUCACAUCUUCUUUAUCCAUUCCUCUGUCAGUGGGCAUUUAGGUUGCUUCCAUGUUUGGCUAUUAUAAAUAUUUGCAGUGAACAUUGGGGUGCAUGUAUAUUUUUGAAUUAUGGUUUUCUCUGGAUAGAUGCCCAGGAGUGAGAUUGCUGGAUCAUAUGGUAGUUCUAUUUUUAGCAGGUUUUUUUGUCCUCUUUUUUUUUUUUUUUUGGGCUGCUCCUGUGACAUGCAAAAUUUCCUGGGCCAGGGAUCGAACCCAUGCCACAGCUGUAACCAGAGUCACAGCGGUGUCAGUGCAAGAUCCUUAACCCACUAAGCCAUGAGGGAACUUCUAUUUUUGUUUUUUUGACAAACCUCUGUACUGUUUUCCAUUUUAUAUACUGUUGUACCAAUUUACCUUCCCAUUAGCAGUGGGGGGGGUCCCUUUUCUCCAGCACCUUCUCCAGCAUUUAUUGAUUGUAGACUUUUUGAUGAUGGCCAUUAUGACUGGUGUGAGAUGAUACCUCAUUAUAGUUUUGGUUUGUAUUUUUCUAAUAAUUUGCAAUGUUGAGUCUUUUUUCAUGUGCUUUUGGCCAUGUGUAUGUUUUCUUUGGAAAAUUGUCUCUUUAGAUCUUCUGCCCAUUUUUUGAUUGGGUUGCUUGUUUUUCCUUUUUUUCUUUUUUGACAUUAAGCUGAGUGGUUUGUGUAUUUUGAAUAUUAAUCCCUUGUCAGUUGCUUUGUAUGCACCUAUUUUCUCCCAUUCUGUUGGUUGCCUUUUUUGUUUUAUUUAUGAUUUCCUUUUCUGUGCAAAAGCUUUUAAGCUUGAUUAGUGCUUGUUUUUUUUAUUUUUUUAUUUUCAUUAUUCUCAGAGGUGGAUCCAAAAAGAUAUGGCUGUGAUUUAUGUCAAAAAGUGUUCUGCCAAAUGUUUUCCUCUAAGAGUCUUAUAGUGUCCACUCUUAACAUUUAGUUCUUUUAUCAAUUAUGAGUUUAUUUUUGUGUCUGGUAUUAGAGAGUGUUUUAAUUUUAUUCUUUGAUAUGUAGCUGUUUAGUUUUCCCUGCACCACUUAUUGAAGAGACUCUCUUCUCUUCAUGGUAUAUUCUUGCCUCUUUGUCAAAGAUGAAUUGACCAUAGGUGUGUGGAUUUAUUUCUGGGCUUUCUAUCUUAUUUCAUUGGUCUAUAUUUCUGUUUUUGCACCAGUACCAUACUGUUUUGAUAACUGUAGCUUUAUAGUAUAGCCUGAAGUCAGGGACCAUGAUUCUUCUAGCUUUGUUCUUAUUUUUCAAGAUUGUUUUCUAUUUGGGGCCUUUGUGUUUCCAUACAAAUUUUAAAAUUAUUUGUUCUAGUUCUGUGAAAAAUGCCCUUGGUAUUUUGAAAAGGAUCACUUUGAAUUUGUAGAUUGCCUUGGGAAGUAUGGUCUUUUAACAAUAUUAAUUCUUCUAAUUUCAUGAACACAGUAUAUGGUCAUUUUUAUGUUAAUUCUUCUAAUUCAUGAACACGGUAUAUCAUGUUUGUGUCAUCUUUAAUUUCUUUUAUCAGUGUCCAAUAGUAUUCUGAGUACAUGUCUUUUACCUUGAACCUUAGGUAGGUUUAUUUUUAAGUAUUUAAUUUUUUAUGAUGCGGUGAUACAUGGGAUUGUUUCCUUAAUUUCCAAUACCGACAGCUCAUUGUUAGUGUGUAGAAAUGCAAGAGGUUUCUGUGUAUUAAUUUUGUAUCUUGUAACUUUUCUGAAUUAAUUGAUGAGCUCUAGUAGUUUUCUGGUGGUAGAAUUCUAGUUUUAUUGUUGACUACCUUUGUUGCAUUGGGCUCUCUCAGUUUUAGCUGCUAGUGGUAUUGCCUCUCUCUUUCUCUCUUUCUCAAAAGUACUCACAAGAAGCUUUAAAAAUGAUGUUUUUUUUAAGUAGAGUAAAAUAUAAACUGAUAGAAGUUUUUAACUUUUUUUGCUAUAAAAAGUAUUGUUUUCUUAGAGCUCCUAGAAUUGAAAACCUUAGCAUCUCUCUAGGAAAAAAAUAACAUUUUAUAUAAUGUAUUCGGGCUGAAAAAGUUCAGCUGUCAUCAGCUAGAUGAGGGCUCUCUUCAGACCUUUUAGUUCUAGUUUUUCUAGUUCUUAUUUUCUUUUGUAUAUUUUAAAAGAUUUUUGCUUGUUAUUUAAUUUUAGCACAGCAUUCUUUAGUGUGAGAAGUCAGAUUUUCAAUAUACAUCAUGAAUUUCACUUUAAUUUGGUAUAGGACAUAUGCCCUUAAAACAGCUACACAAAAAUCGUUCUAAACCAAAAGCACCUAGCACAAACCAUUACUCACUUAAUUUAGACAUUAUUUAUUGUAAUAAAAUCUCUCCACAACAUAAUUCUAAAAAACAAACAUAAGUCUGCUAUAUGAGGUUUCAUAAAUUAAUACUCAGUUUUAUUAAAUAAUUCCCUAACUUAAUAUUUUAAUUACUUGGCUUGUUAUAUACAAAUAUGACAGUUUUUUUUUUUUUAGCAAAACAUCUAUUAUCAAAGCCAUAAUCAUUUAUAGAAUAUUUGGCAGUUAACAUCUCUAUUGCUGUGGCCCUUUUUUGUUUUUAUGGCUGCACCUGCAGCAUAUGAAAGUUCCCAGGCUAGGGGUUGAAUUGGAGCUGCAGCCACAGCCACAGCAACACUGGAUCUGAGCUGCAUCUGUGACCUAUGCUGUACCUUGCAGCAAUGCCGGAUCCUUAACCCACUGAGGGAGGCCAGGGAUUGAGCCUGAAAACUCACAGACCUCUGUCAGGUUUUUAACCCACUGAGCCACAGGAGAACCUCCCCCCAUUGGUAUGACUCUUAAUCUUUCUUUUUCUGAGGAGUACAGGCAGAGGGUAUGACCCAGUGCCAUUAGUAAUAAUAGUUUGCUAAUUCAUUUAUUACAUAUACUUACCAUGUUGCCUGGUUUGCACUUAGUAAAUACUAUUUAAUUUAUUCAGAAUACUUGAUUAACCCGUUGAGUUUGUGCUCUCUUUGCACAAGAUAUGGUGUAUAUAGAUCACAUUUAGUUACUCCGGGUUUUGUUGAAAUACGAUGAUGGUGGCAUUUAAAAAACUAUUUUACUAAAGAAUUUUGAUUGCAUUUUUCUGUAGAGGCAAGGAAAUAUUUAAAUUAUGUUUUAGGGUAGUGUCCAAAAAUAUGAAAAUUCUCUAUUAUCAGAGCCAUGUAAUAAGUCUUUCAACUCCUUUCAUUUUAUUAAUUUUUCAGUCAUUCAUUUAUAUAGAGUUGCUACUGUGGAUCAGUUGUUAUCCUGCUUCCUAUUUAUCAAAACAACUUCUCUGCCCUCCUUCAGCCUCAGAUUGUUAAAUACUUUACCACUUUACUCCCUAGUCAUUUUAUUCAUUCCUCGGCUAUCAGUAUAGUCAGACCUCCAUAUCUCUGGAUUCCACACCUGCAGAUUCAGCUAAGGAUCAAAAGUAUUGGGGAAAAAAUAUUCCAGAAAGUUCCAAAAAACAAAACUUGAAUUUGUGGCACUGGCAACUAUUUACAUAAUAUUUACAUUGUAUUUCCUACUAUUUAUAUAGCAUCUACAUUGCAUUAGGCAUUCUAAAUAAUAUAGAAAUGAUUUAAAGUAUACUAGAGGAUGUGCAUAGGUUAUAUGCAGAUAUUGUACUAUUUUAUGUA
rnacentral:lncRNA from 1 species